CGCCCUUCAGAGGGGGACGACAGUUGGAAACGACUGCUAAUACCGCAUACGAUCUAAUCUCGGCAUCGAGGGUAGAUGAAAGGUGGCCUCUACAUGUAAGCUAUCACUGAAGGAGGGGAUUGCGUCUGAUUAGCUAGUUGGAGGGGUAACGGCCCACCAAGGCGAUGAUCAGUAGCCGGUCUGAGAGGAUGAACGGCCACAUUGGGACUGAGACACGGCCCAG
rnacentral:rRNA from 1 species